GGAGGGAUGGCCGAGUGGUCGAUGGCACCGGUCUUGAAAACCGGAGUGGCGUUUCGCCACCGUGGGUUCGAAUCCCACUCCCUCCG
rnacentral:tRNA from 1 species